rnacentral:rRNA from 1 species
GUUUGUGGUUAUACCAUUCUGAACAAACCUGAUCUUCUCUGAUCUUGGAAGGUUAGCAGGGUCAGGCCUGGCUAGUUCUUGGAUGGGAAAAUUUCUGUUCCAUGUCAUAGAAUACUGGAAUUGAAAGGA